GAUUUAUGAAAUUAAAAUAAGUUUAGAAUUUUAUGUUGAAAAGAAAUUGAAUUACGAAAACCGUUUGAAUUUUGAAAACAAUCCUAAUUGGUUUUGGAUUCAAACACUUAAACUCAACCUUAGUUCUAGCCCAAGUUGAUAAAGCCCAAAUAAUAAGACCCAAAACACUUUACUCCUUUCCUCUCUUUCAAUGUUACGUAAAAGCAAAAACAACAAAAACUUCUCUGCUUCACUUUCACGUGAACCAUAACCCUUAACCUCUUCCCCCUUUGCUCAGCCGCCAGCCGGCAGCCACGCUGGACCACCGUCACUACACCGACCUCCUGCCACCAUCCCCUCCGCCGUCGGUACUCCUCUUCUCUUUCGUUCUUUCCUUUUUAUCUCUCGUUCUUUGUCUCCCCUGACUUGUGUUCUGUUUUUUUUUCGCACAACCACUAUCAGCGCACGCAACCACCACCUGUACCACCACCUGCUCCCGCCGACUUCCCAUCGCCACAACCCAGCCGUCGACCAACCUCCUCCCUUCUCCUUUACAUACACAAGAAAUCUCCCCUCCUAUUUUCUUUGUUGCUCCGCACGCAGCUACCAGUCGUGCUGCACCACCCGUCGCGCCACCAAGAGUGUUGAACCACCGACGUACCCACCGUCUGCUGCCGCCACUGUCGCCGGCCAGCAGCUUCCUUCUUCCUCACUUUUGGUGGAGAAUUCUCUUUAGGCAACUUUUGAAAGUGUUAAGGUGACGUAUCAGUUUGUUUACACAAGUCUCUAAGGAUCAAUAAGCGUUGCCCAUCUACAGGUUUGAAGAUGAUGCAUCAUUGGGAUCGGGAUUAGAGAGCUUGUAGUUCUAUUCGUUUAAUUAAGUGAUUUAAUUUGUUAACUUGGUUUUGAAAUUUGUCGUACUAUUCGUAUUUCCUUAAUUCAGUUAAUUGGUUUGGACCUAAUAUGUAAUAGAUUAUUUAUGAACCUAAAAGUUAGUUUCAUGU